GAUCCUGGCUCAGAACGAACGCUGGCGGCGUGGAUAAGACAUGCAAGUCGAACGCGAUUUUCUCGGUUAGCAAUAACUGAGGAAAUUGAGUGGCGAAUGGGUGCGUAACACGUGGGAAUUUAUCCGGAAGUGGGGGAUAGCUCGUCGAAAGGCGAAUUAAUACCGCAUAUGCCUGUAAGGGCAAAGUGGGGGACCGCAAGGCCUCACGCUAUCGGAGGAGCCCGCGCCCUAUCAGCUAGUUGGUGAGGUAAUGGCUCACCAGGGCUUAGACGGGUAGCUGGUCUGAGAGGACGACCAGCCACACUGGAACUGAGACACGGUCCAGACACCUACGGGUGGCAGCAGUCGAGGAUUUUUCUCAAUGGGGGCAACCCUGAAGGAGCGACGCCGCGUGGAGGAUGAAGGGCUUCGGCUCGUAAACUCCUGUCACCGACGAACAAGACAUCCGGAUUAAUAACUCGGAUGUUUGAUGGUAGUCGGAGAGGAAGGGGCGGCUAACUCUGUGCCAGCAGCCGCGGUGAUACAGAGGCCCCAAGCGUUGUUCGGAUUUACUGGGCGUAAAGGGUGUGUAGGGGGUUAGGUUAGUCUGACGUGAAAUACCGUUGCUCAACAACGGAACUGCGUCGGAUACUGCCUAGCUAGAGGUUCGGAGAUGAGGGCGGAAUUCUCGGUGUAGCGGUGAAAUGCGUAGAUAUCGAGAGGAACGCCGAUGGCGAAAGCAGCCCUCAAGACGAAAUCUGACCCUGAAACACGAAGGCCAGGGGAGCAAACGGGAUUAGAUACCCCGGUAGUCCUGGCAGUAAACGGUGCUCAUUAGAUGUAGGCGGAUUCGACCCCGCCUGUGUCGAACCUAACGGAUUAAUGAGCCGCCUGGGAAGUACGGUCGCA
rnacentral:rRNA from 1 species